ACGAGGUGAGUUACAAACCACAGCUAGCAGCUCACAGACGAGGUGAGUUACAAACCGCAGCUAACAGACGAGGUGAGUUACAAACCACAGCUAGCAGCUCACAGACGAGGUGAGUUACAAACCACAGCUAGCAGCUCACAGACGAGGUGAGUUAAACCACAGCUAGCAACUAACAGACGAGGUGAGUUACAAACCACAGCUAGCAGCUAACAGACGAGGUGAGUUACAAACCACAGCUAGCAACUAACAGACGAGGUGAGUUACAAACCACAGCUAGCAGCUCACAGACGAGGUGAGUUACAAACCACAGCUAGCAGCUAACAGACGAGGUGAGUUAAACCACAGCUAGCAGCUAACAGACGAGGUGAGUUACAAACCGCAGCUCACAGACGAGGCGAGUGACAAACCGCAGCUCACAGACGAGGCGAGUGACAAACCGCAGCUCACAGCUAACAGAGAACGUAAGUCCUGGCUGGGGGCACUUUCAGCAGACGUUCUGUAAUGAUCUGGAAGGCUGCAGACAGAAAUGUCUUGAUGUGUGUAUUUUCUAGGUAAUGUAUUUCUAUCUGAACAAUCCAGGAUAAUGUGCCCUCAUUAACAUAAUCCCUGUGUAUGAGGGAGAGGGCCUCGGACUAAAGAGCAGAUUGUCUGACAUACUGCUACUUAUUUAGUGUAGAGAAAUGAAUGUUUUCUCUUCAAGUUCCCUUCCCCUUCUCUCUGAGUGAUAACGAAACCCAACCUGUCUUUUCACACAUCUUAAAACAAGAUGCCAUCAACAAGGAAUCUUUCAAAAUAAAAGUUGUUGAUGAAAGAGAGUCUACUAUACUACUGUAGGCUAGGUGGAAGAAAGAGGGAUUCUACUGGAGAAAGAGGGAUGCUACUGGAGGCUAGGUGGAAGAAAGAGGGAUGCUACUGGAGGCUAGGUGGAGAAAGAGGGAUGCUACUGGAGGCUAGGGGAAGAAAGCGGGGAUCUACUGGAGGCUAG
rnacentral:lncRNA from 1 species